rnacentral:rRNA from 1 species
AUUGAACGCUGGCGGCAUGCUUUACACAUGCAAUUCGAACGAGUGGCGAACGGGUGAGUAAUAUAUCUUAACGUACCUAGUAAUGGGGUAUAACCAAUCGAAAGAUUGUCUAAUACCGCAUAUUAUUCGAGCGGCCGAUAACUGAUUAGCUAGGUGGUGGGGUAAAGGCCUACCAAGGCGACGAUCAGUAGCGGGUCUGAGAGGACGAUCGGCCACACUGGGACGGAGACACGGCCCAGACUCCUACGGGAGGCAGCAGUGGGGAAUUUUGGACAAUGGGGGCAACCCUGAUCCAGCCAUGCCGCGUGUAUGAAGAAGGCCUUCGGGUUGUAAAGUACUUUUGUUAGGGAAGCGGUACCUAAAGAAUAAGCACCGGCUAACUACGUGACAGCAGCCGCGGUAAUUC